AGCGGCGGACGGGUGAGUAAUGCUUGGGAAUCUGCCCAAUAGUGGGGGAUAACGUGUGGAAACGCACGCUAAUACCGCAUACGUCCUACGGGAGAAAGCAGGGGAUCUUCGGACCUUGCGCUAUUGGAUGAGCCCAAGUCAGAUUAGCUAGUUGGUGGGGUAAUGGCUCACCAAGGCGACGAUCUGUAGCUGGUCUGAGAGGAUGAUCAGCCACACUGGGACUGAGACACGGCCCAGACUCCUACGGGAGGCAGCAGUGGGGAAUAUUGCACAAUGGGCGAAAGCCUGAUGCAGCCAUGCCGCGUGUGUGAAGAAGGCUCUAGGGUUGUAAAGCACUUUCAGUGGGGAGGAAAAGUUCAAAAUUAAUACUUUUGAGCCUUGACGUUACCUGCAGAAGAAGCACCGGCAAACUCCGUGCCAGCAGCCGCGGUAAUACGGAGGGUGCGAGCGUUAAUCGGAAUUACUGGGCGUAAAGCGCGCGUAGGUGGUUUGAUAAGUUAGCUGUGAAAGCCCUGGGCUCAACCUGGGAACUGCAGUUAGAACUGUCUGGCUAGAGUAUAGUAGAGGGUGGCGGAAUUUCCUGUGUAGCGGUGAAAUGCGUAGAUAUAGGAAGGAACAUCAGUGGCGAAGCGGCCACCUGGACUACUACUGACACUGAGUGCGAAGCGUGUGAGCCAACAGGAUUAGAUACCCUGGUAGUCCACGCCCA
rnacentral:rRNA from 1 species